UAGGGAAUAUUGCAAAAUGGGCGAAAGCCCGAUGCAGCAACGCCGCGUGGGCGAUGAAGGCCUUCGGGUCGUAAAGCCCUUUUUGAGGGGAUGAGGAAGGACAGUACCCUCAGAAUAAGCCUCGGCUAACUACGUGCCAGCAGCCGCGGUAAAACGUAGGAGGCGAGCGUUAUCCGGAUUUACUGUGCGUAAAGCGCGUGCAGGCGGAUUGGAGAGUUGGAUGUGAAAGCUCCCGGCUUAACUGGGAGGGGUCGUUCAAUACUACCAGUCUUGAGUGCAGUAGAGGGUAGUGGAAUUCCGGGUUUAGUGGUGCACUGCGUAGUUAUCCGGAGGAACACCAGUGGCGAAAGCGGCUUCCUGGACUGUAACUGACGCUCAGACGCGAAAGCUAGGGUAGCAA
rnacentral:rRNA from 1 species